AGAGUUGAUUAUGGCUCAGGAUGAACGCUGGCGGCGUGCCUAACACAUGCAAGUCGAACGGGACUGAUUUGAAGAUCCUCUUCGGAGAUGAUUCGUUUUAGUUAGUGGCGGACGGGUGAGUAACGCGUGAGUAACCUGCCCUUGAGAGGGGGAUAACGUUCUGAAAAGAACGCUAAUACCGCAUAACAUUAUUGAGUCGCAUGGCUCGGUAAUCAAAACUCCGGUGCUCAGGGAUGGACUCGCGUCCGAUUAGUUAGUUGGUGAGGUAACGGCUCACCAAGACCGCGAUCGGUAGCCGGACUGAGAGGUUGAACGGCCACAUUGGGACUGAGACACGGCCCAGACUCCUACGGGAGGCAGCAGUGGGGGAUAUUGCGCAAGUUACGGGGGGAAACCCUGACGCAGCAACGCCGCGUGGAGGAUGACGGUUUUCGGAUUGUAAACUCCUUUUGUCAGGGACGAAAAUUGACGGUACCUGACGAAUAAGCUCCGGCUAACUACGUGCCAGCCGCGGC
rnacentral:rRNA from 1 species